UACGAAGGGGGGCUAGCGUUGCUCGGAAUCACUGGGCGUAAAGGGCGCGUAGGCGGCGUUUUUAAGUCGGGGGUGAAAGCCUGUGGCUCAACCACAGAAUGGCCUCGAUACUGGGACGCUUGAGUAUGGUAGAGGUUGGUGGAACUGCGAGUGUAGAGGUGAAAUUCGUAGAUAUUCGCAAGAACACCAGUGGCGAAGGCGGCUCACUGGCCCGGUACUGACGCUGAGGUGCGAAAGCGUGGGGAGCAAACAGG
rnacentral:rRNA from 1 species